rnacentral:lncRNA from 1 species
UUCAAAUACAGUGGUGCCCCGCAAGACGAACGCCUCGCAAGACGAAAAACUCGCAAGACGAAAGGUUUUUUCGUUUUCGAGUUGCUUCGCAAGACGAAUGUCCCUAUGGGCUUGCUUUGCAAGACGAAAACGUCUUGCAAGUUUGUUUCCUUUUUCGUAAAACCGUUAAAACCCAGGGUGCAUUGCUGGAAGAGGUGCAGUUGCGACUUGACCUCGAGGAGCAACACAUUGCACGCGGUGUGGUGGCCUUUCUGAGCUUUUUAAAGAGUUUGCUGGAUUUUUGAAGCUUUUCCAAAACUUCUUUUGCAGCUGUUUGGUAAGUUAAACUUUUAAAACUUUUUUGGGUUUUUGGAUUUUGGGUUGGGGUGUUUAGAAUUCAAGGACUUGGUGUUGGGGAGAGGUUUGCAAGAAUCUGGGAGCUUGUGUGGUUUUUUCCUGCAUUUUUAUGAUUUUCUGUGACCAUUGGGCCAUGUUUAUUUUUUUUAAAAAAAAAAAUCUGGGUUUGAAUUUUUGAAUUUCUGUGUGCUGGGUGGAUGGGGGAACAGCUGGGGAGGGGUUUGCAAGAAUCUGGGAGCUUGUGUGGUUUUUUCUGCAUUUUUAUGAUUUUCUGUGACCAUUGGGCCAUGUUGUUGUUUUUUGAAAAAAUUUCUGGGUUUUGAAUUUCUGUGUGCUGGGUGGCUGGGGGAACAGCUGGGGAGGGGUUUGCAGGAAUCUGGGAGCUUGUGUGGUUUUUUUUGAAUUUUUAUGGUUUUCUGUGACCAUUGGGCCAUGUUGGUUUUUUUUGAAAAAAAUUUCUGGGUUUUGAAUUUCUGUGUGCUGGGUGGCUGGGGGAACAGCUGGGGAGGGGUUUGCAGGAAUCUGGGAGCUUGUGUGGGUUUUUUUUGAAUUUUUAUGGUUUUCUGUAACCAUUGGGCCAUGUUGUUGUUUUUUGAAAAAUUUUCUGGGUUUUGAAUUUCUGUGUGCUGGGUGGCUGGGGGAACAGAUGAGGAGGGGUUUGCAACAAUUGGGGAGGGGUUUGCAACAGUUGGGGAGGGGCUGGGGAACAGUUGAGGUUUUUGAAGACUUUGGUGAUUUUUAAAGCUUUCCCAAAACUUCUUUUGCAGCCAUUUGAGGAUUUUGAAGACUUUGGUGAUUUGCAGCCAUUUCGUAAGUUAAACUUUUAAAACUUUUUUUGGGGUUUUUGGAUUUUGGGUUGGGUGUUUGGAAUUCAAGGACUUGGUUCUGGGUUUGAAUUGCUGAUUUUUUUUUCUUUUUCUGAGUUUACAAAGGUAACAGCUGUGCUGCCAUGGGACCCAAGAAGACUGCUGCUGCUGCGGAGGCCGGCGAGAGGAAGAAGGAGAAGGUGACGCUGGAGAUGAAGAAGGAGAUCAUCCGGAAGCACGACGGUGGAAUGCGUGUGACGGACCUCGCCAGGGAGUACGGCAGGAACCCAUCGACCAUCGGGACCAUCCUGAAGAUGAGGGAGAAGAUCCUUGCGACUGAUGCAGCCAAGGGAGUCACCAGGAUCGUGAAGAACCGCCCAGCUGUUCUGGAGGAGGUCGAGAAGUUGCUGCUCAUCUGGUUAGAAGAGAAGCAGCGUGCAGGGGACACAGUGACUGAGGCCGUGAUUUGUGAGAAGGCCAAGGCCUUGCACGCAGACCUCAUCCGGGAACAGCCAGGAACCUCGGCCGAGCCAGAAGUCUUCAAGGCAAGCAGAGGCUGGUUUGACCGGUUCAAGGCAAGAUCCGGAAUCCACAGCGUGGUCAGGCAUGGAGAGGCUGCCAGUUCUGAUGUUCCUGCGGCUGAAGACUUUGCCUUGGAGUUCCUGGAGGUUGUGAAGACGGAGGGCUACGUUCCACAGCAGGUCUUCAACUGCGACGAGACCGGGCUGUUUUGGAAGAGGAUGCCCAAAAGGACUUUCCUCACACAGGAGGAGGCCAAGUUGCCUGGCCACAAGCCCAUGAAGGACCGUCUGACCCUGCUCUUCUGUGCCAACGCAAGCGGCGACCUGAAGAUCAAGCCCCUGCUGGUGUACCACUCGGAGAACCCACGGGCCUUCAAGAAACACAAGGUCGACAAGGAGCGGCUGAGUGUCAUGUGGCGAUCCAACAGCAAGGCUUGGGUCACACGUGUGCUGUUUGUGGACUGGGUCAAUCUUGCCUUUGGCCCUGCUGUCAAACAGUACCUGCUGGACAACGACCUGCCGCUGAAGGCUUUGCUUCUGAUGGACAAUGCUCCUGCUCAUCCUAAAGGCCUUGAGGUGGACUUGUUGGAGGAGUUCAGCUUCAUCAACAUCAUGUUCCUGCCGCCUAACACCACGCCACUGCUCCAGCCGAUGGAUCAGCAGGUCAUCGCCAAUUUCAAGAAACUCUACACCAAGGAGCUUUUCAGGCGAUGCUUCGAGGUGACUGAUUGCACCACCAUCACCCUGCGGGAAUUCUGGAAGGACCACUUCGACAUCGUCACCUGCUUGAAGAUGAUCACCACGGCCUGGAACGGGAUCAGCCAGAGAAAUUUGAAUUGCGCUUGGCGCAGCCUGUGGCCGGACUGUGUGGCACCAAGUGACUCUGAUGCACCAGAGUCGACAGUGGUGCAGGACAUUGUUGCCUUGGGGAGGACCAUGGGCCUGGAGGUCACAGAGGAGGACGUCUGCGAGCUGGUGGAGGAGCACGACCACGAGCUGACCACCCAGGAGCUGGUUGAACUGCAGUCAGAGGUUGCGCAGGAGCAGGCCUCGCUGGAAGAGGAGGAAGCAACUGAGGAACGGCUGUCCUCCAAAGAACUGAGGGACAUUUGCCAGAAGUGGAAGGAGGUGCAGGCUUUUGCAGAGCGGCACCACCCUGAUCAAGCACGUGGCACAUGACCAAGCGAACACUUUUGAUACGACGGUCAUGUUGCCUCUCAGGGAGCUGCUGAAAAGGCGGAUGAAGCAGCAGACCAUGGACAGGUUCCUCAGCAAGAAGCAAAGAGUGGAAGAGGAACCUUCUUCGAGUGGUCCCCCAGAGUCUUAGAAAAUGUAAUGUACCCUUUUUUGAUUUUUAAAUGUUUUUCCUGUCAUGUUUAGAAACUUAAUUUAUUGUUCCUUCAAUUUUUGAUAUGCUCUUUAAAGUAUGUGUGACUUUAAAGAGCAGUUAAUAAACUCUUGUUGUACC